UGUGGUGAUGUCAAAGACGGCCCUGGAUUUUCCUCAUUUCUCUUCCUUUUGUCAUUGCCUGAAAUUCCACCAAUUACAGAUUUAUUUGGGUUUAAAGUAUCUCAUUUGAAAGAGGCCCCCUUCCUAACCCUCAUCCCCACCUUCAAGGGUUAAAGCAGUGUUUGCUCAGCAGCCAGUAUUUGGAUAGCACCUGGAAGCCCAUUGUGAUAUGGCUGUACUACUAGAGUACUCCAGUGGACACAGGGACGAGCACAUUCUCCAGAUCCUUAUUAUGGCUCAGUGUGAUCUUCAUAGACAUCAUAUUUGUCCCUCCUUUGACAUUUCUAUUUCCAGUCACUACAGUAACUGUAUACAAAAAAAUAAGUAUAUAUGAGCUUACAUAUAUAAAAACACAUAAACCUCACAAAUGCUUCCAAGGUAUGGAAUAAUAAUAAGAAUAGUUAGCAACCAAUCUGCAUCUAAAUGCUCAGGACAGUGUCCACUCUGAAGCCCUACUGCCUGCUGGU
rnacentral:lncRNA from 1 species